rnacentral:lncRNA from 1 species
CUCCGAUUUCCCACCAACUGUUGAUGUUUCCCUUGUCAUCAAUUUCAAUUUCCCCCACCGAUUUUGGCAGCAUUCAGUAAUUUGUGGUGAGGGUUUCGAUUACUAUAAGCUCAGUUGGAAUCGAUCCGACCAUCCCAUAAUUCCGGCGGGGUGGUCUUGAGGUACAUAUCUCUUACCUUUCCCGAAUCAUGCAGUCUCAGAU